rnacentral:rRNA from 1 species
UACAGAGGUCUCAAGCGUUGUUCGGAUUUAUUGGGCGUAAAGGGCGCGUAGGCGGCGGGGUAAGUCGGGUGUGAAAUCUCAGGGCUCAACCCUGAAACUGCACUUGAUACUGCUCUGCUUGAGGACUGGAGAGGAGACUGGAAUUCACGGUGUAGCAGUGAAAUGCGUAGAUAUCGUGAGGAAGACCAGUGGCGAAGGCGGGUCGUCUGG